rnacentral:rRNA from 1 species
UAGAUACAGAACCAAUACACCAUCUGUUAACAGCAGGUGGUGUAAAAAAGGUGAUUCAUAGUAACCGAACGGAUCGCAUUAUGGUCAUUUUAUAUGGCUGGCGAUAGAUCAUUCAAGUUUCUGACCUAUCAGCUUUCGACGGUAGUGUAUUGGACUACCGUGGCAGUGACGGGUAACGGGGAAUUAGGGUUCGAUUCCGGAGAGGGAGCCUGAGAAACGGCUACCACAUCUAAGGAAGGCAGCAGGCGCGCAAAUUACCCAAUCCUGACUCAGGGAGGUAGUGACAAGAAAUAACAACACUGGAAAUUUUAUUUCUAGUGAUUGGAAUGAUGGGAAUUUAAACCCCUUUCAGAGUAACAAUUGGAGGGCAAGUCUGGUGCCAGCAGCCGCGGUAAUUCCAGCUCCAAUAGCGUAUAUUAAAGUUGUUGCAGUUAAAAAGCUCGUAGUUGGAUGUCUGCUGGAAGCAAUCAGUCCGCCCUAUUUGUAGGGUGUGCACUUGAUGAAUUCUGGCAUCUAUGUCCCAAUAAUAUGAUGGUGUAUACCCUGUGUACACCCAUCUAUAUUGGGAUAAUACCGUUACUUUGAGAAAAUUAGAGUGUUUGAAGCAGGCUAAUUGCCUUGAAUACUGCAGCAUGGAAUAACAAUAUAGGAUUUCGGUUCUAUUUUGUUGGUUUCUAGGACUGAAAUAAUGAUUAAUAGGGACAGUUGGGGGCAUUCGUAUUU